GUACCAUGAACAAAAAUUUCGAUGUCUGGUAUGGUUUGAAUUAAAAACAUGCAGGGAUUAGGUUUAACACCGAAGUCUGGAUUCGCCCACUUUGUUGCCAUGUUUUCGGCGUUUUAUAGGGCUUGCCUGCAUGACUGGUUAAGAACUAAAUCCCUUGACAGUUUUUAACUCUGUAAAAUCAUCCAUGUACAGUCUUCAAGAUAUUUGUUUAUGGUUCUCACCAAAAUAAUUAAAUUAAAUAAAGGUCACCAAAAUAAUUAAAUUAAAUAAAGGUCCUGUUAGUAAUCCAUGAAAAAAAAUUUCGAUGUCUGGUAUGGUUUGAAUUAAAAACAGGCAGGGAUUAGGUUUAACACCGAAGUCUGGAUUCGCCCACUUUGUUGCCAUGUUUUCGGCGUUUUAUAGGGCUUGCCUCCAAGACUGGUUAAGAACUAAAUCCCUUGACAGUUUUUAACUCUGUAAAAUCA
rnacentral:lncRNA from 1 species